rnacentral:rRNA from 1 species
AUGAAUCUUAGGUUAGGAAAGAAGUGGUUGGCAUAUGGUUUGAGGAGGGUAAAGGAGUCUGAGAUCAAGUCACUUCGUCUUAGUACUCCGUUGCUGGAUCACAUUGCACAAUUUAGGAAAGAGGGCAUGAAGACAGACCAUUGGUUCAAAACUUUACUCAAGGUAUGGAUGCAGGACAUCAAUGCCAAAAAUGAAGCUAAUGAGGAGGUGCUCCUGUCAAAAUACAUUGCUGAACCAGCACUUCCGCAGGAACUCAGAGAUGCUUUUAACAACUUUCAGAAGCAGGCUAAAGAUUAUAUCUCAUCAGAAACUGUUGCUACAGAAGCACGGUUGUCCAGCUUAAAGAAUCAGGAAUCAAUGUAUACCUGCCCUGAUGAUCCUGCCAUUAAGAUUUAUGCGCCUCUUAGUUAUAUCAAGAAGUGCCUCAAUCGCUAUGGUGUGACUAAUCUUGAAGGUUUCCCUAAACAUGUUUCAGCCCUUGUUUUGCAAGAUGAUGAGCUAAUCAUAAGUUGGUUUGCAGGAAUAAUUCAUCGUUGGGUAAGAUGGUUCUCUGAGGUUGAUAAUUUUAAAGAGCUUCAACUUAUGUUAGUUGAAUGUGUCAGGAAAUCCUGCAUUCAGACACUAUCUGCAAAGUACCGAAUGUACGAAAAAUUGACAGAAAAGCGGUUUGAACUUGAUGAUUAUGGCAUUCCAAUGAUCGAGGACUUUGAGGCAAUGAUAGCACAGCUAGAACCUAGUUUUUCCUCAGUUUCUGCUGAUGAAGCGCUGACAUAUGGCAUUUCUGGUAGUGGCUUAUGUGUGCUCACCCUCUCAAGAGUUAGAGUCCCGGCUCGGAAAUUCAACUGCUUUGUCAUGGGCUGCCAAUCUUCAUCACCAAGUUUGUACAUUAUUCAUGUGAAGGAGAAACAGCGGUUUCCAGGAUGGAGGACAGGUUUCUCAUCAUCAAUUCAUGGGAGUUUAAAUGGCAGACGAAUUGGGUUGUGUACUCAACAUGUUAAAGAUCUAUAUCUAGGGCAAAUCUCCCUUCAGUCAGUUGAUUUUGGUGUGCUGAUUAGAUGA